rnacentral:rRNA from 1 species
AUUGAACGCUGGCGGCAGGCCUAACACAUGCAAGUCGAGCGGAUGAAGGGAGCUUGCUCCUGGAUUCAGCGGCGGACGGGUGAGUAAUGCCUAGGAAUCUGCCUGGUAGUGGGGGAUAACGUCCGGAAACGGGCGCUAAUACCGCAUACGUCCUGAGGGAGAAAGUGGGGGAUCUUCGGACAUCACGCUAUCAGAUGAGCCUAGGUCGGAGUAGCUAGUUGGUGGGGUAAAGGCCUACCAAGGCGACGAUCCGUAACUGGUCUGAGAGGAUGAUCAGUCACACUGAAACUGAGACACGGUCCAGACUCCUACGGGAGGCAGCAGUGGGGAAUAUUGGACAAUGGGCGAAAGCCUGAUCCAGCCAUGCCGCGUGUGUGAAGAAGGUCUUCGGAUUGUAAAGCACUUUAAGUUGGGAGGAAGGGCAGUAAGUUAAUACCUUGCUGUUUUGACGUUACCAACAGAAUAAGCACCGGCUAACUUCGU